GAAACACGGACCAAGGAGUCUAACAGGUACGCGAGUUGAGGAGUUGUCUAAACUGUUGAGCGUAGCGAAAGCAAAACAAAUUAUCUUACGGUAAUUUAAGCCGAUCCGGUGUCUUUUCUCCCGAGAAGCCUGGCGCAGGCUGAGGGCCCGCCGUUGUCAGUCUUGGUUCUUGGUUGUCUAGCGCAGUCUACCUUGACUGGUUGGCGGGCACCCAGAGCGUGCACGUUAGUACCCGAAAGAUGGUGAUCUAUGCUUGGCUAGAAUGAAGCCAGAGGAAACUCUGGUGGAGGUUCGUAGCGAUUCUGACGUGCAAAUCGAUCGUCGGAGCUGAGA
rnacentral:rRNA from 1 species